AUGGCGAGUGUGCUGAAGAAGACCGCUGGCCUUGCGGUAUGCAAGAGUCCACAUGAGAAGCCAAGAAUAUUGUACACAAAUAUUCUUGAUGUUCUUGAGCAAAUCCCUAAAAAUGCAGCAUAUAGAAAGUAUACAUAACAGAUUACUAAUGAGAAGCUGGCUAUGAUCAAAGUGGAAUCAGAUGUUCAAAAAUUGGAAGACCAACUUGAAGGUGGCCAAAUAGGAGAGAUGAUUCUCCUGGGUAAAAAUGAACUAAGUCUGGCAAGACAAAUGAUGCAGUGGAAAACAUGGAAGCCAUUAGUGGAAGAGCCUCCUGCCCAUCAGUGGAAAUGGCCAAUAUAA
rnacentral:lncRNA from 1 species